CAGCCGCCGCGGUAAUACGAAGGGGGCUAGCGUUGUUCGGAAUUACUGGGCGUAAAGCGCACGUAGGCGGAUAUUUAAGUCAGGGGUGAAAUCCCAGAGCUCAACUCUGGAACUGCCUUUGAUACUGGGUAUCUUGAGUAUGGAAGAGGUGAGUGGAAUUCCGAGUGUAGAGGUGAAAUUCGUAGAUAUUCGGAGGAACACCAGUGGCGAAGGCGGCUCACUGGUCCAUUACUGACGCUGAGGUGCGAAAGCGUGGGGAGCAAACAGGAUUAGAGACCCGCGUAGUCCCUGUCUCUUAUAC
rnacentral:rRNA from 1 species